GAGACGGACGCGCGUGUGGGACCAGCACAACACCCGGGGAUUAUCCGCGAACGGGUGGCAAGUCUGCGUGAGGCCGGGUGUUGCGCUCGUCUUACGGAGGUGUUCGAGAACGUACGCCCUUCUUCUCGGUGCUUUGUGGAGAGUUUGCGACAAUUAUGUUGUGAGAAAGAGAAUGUAACUUUCGAGAGAGAGAGAAAAAAAGAAAUAGAGAGAGAUAAAAUAAACAGAUAUGUACAUUAAAAAGAAAUUCGGAUCGUGGUGUGAAGUAUCUGUUGGUUGAGAGAGAGAAAAAUGAAAUAAAAAACGGAAAAGAAAGAAAUCAAGUACCGCGCAAUGCAUGUGGCUGGCUGUGACGUACGCCGCGACAUCUGAGUUUCCAGGAGAUCAUCGAGUGUUCAUCUGCGAACACCCCAGGCUGCGAUAGGCCUACACAACGGUGACGUCACUAGGAGGAGCGUAUGCACCUACGAGGUCGGGUUCACCUACGCGCCGGUAGACCCCCCCGCCCCCCUUUCCCCCUUGAACCCUAAGGAGUCCCUUGUCUCCUCGCCUUAUUAAAUUACUUUAUUGCGUCACAAAAAAAACAAAAAAACAGUCACUUCUCGACCUGUCCGUCACUUCUGAUUCACCUUAACCCCACCACCCACCGCCUCCCUCAUACCCCUCCUAAACAGUCUCAUCUCGUCCUCUCCCGUCUCCCUUCCUCCCCUAACCUUCUCCUCCUCUCCCCGCCCCCCCCUCCCCCAUUGCACGGGCAACGCACCAGCACCGCUUCGCAACGUUUAAGUAAUAAAAAAGGACGAGGAAAAAAAUCACGUCUUCACCGGUUGCUAUUCUAGUCGCUCUCCGCUGGCUCUCCUCCGGGUGCCUGCGAGCAACUCAUUACUCCACGUGACACACUCGUCAAAAGUGCCAAGCUGCCGUGGAAAUAGACAGGCUCACGUGUGCCAUCGCGGGGGCCACCUGCGCCACCUGCAGACGCGAAAAGGAGAGAUAAAGAGAGAGAAGGGAAGAUAGAUAGACAGAGAGAGAGAAAGAGAGAGAGAGAGAGAGGUGAAAAGGAGAAGACUUGGUGCCAACACUACAGGUGACGCACGCUACUGUGUUGGGCCUUAUCUCGUACAUCUCUAUUAUUAUUAGCCGCACGCUCGCUAAUGCCCUGUCCUCCCCCCGUCUCUCCUACCGGGUCUCCCUCCCCCUCCCUCCCUCCGUAUCCGAACUAAAUCAGAAUCCGAAGGCUUAAUGCUGCCAUCUGACGUAGCCGGCGAGAACUAAGAAUAAAGGAAAGGUAGGGAGAGAUAGAGAGAAAAGGAGAGAGGAAGAGAGGUGGCAAGAUCUCUAUCAAGCGAAGAGAAAACGUUUACUUGAUAGUGAUAUUGCUGUGUGACCCGCCCGCGUUCAUUCCACCGAGGGGGAGAAAAACGUUUGU